rnacentral:rRNA from 1 species
UAGCCUACGGGACGCAGCAGUGAGGAAUAUUGGUCAAUGGCCGGAAGGCUGAACCAGCCAAGCCGCGUGAAGGACGAAGGUGCCAAGCAUUGUAAACUUCUUUUGUCAAGGGACAAAAUCAGGCUCGAGAGCCUGACCGAGGGUACUUGAAGAAAAAGCAUCGGCUAACUCCGUGCCAGCAGCCGCGGUAAUACGUAUGGAGCAAGCGUUAUCCGGAUUUACUGGGUGUAAAGGGAGAGUAGGUGGCAGAGCAAGUCCGAAGUGAAAACCCAAAGCUCAACUAUGGGAAUGCUUUAGAAACUGCU